CCUACGGGAGGCUGCAGUGGGGAAUAUUGGACAAUGGGGGCAACCCUGAUCCAGCCAUGCCGCGUGUGUGAAGAAGGCCCUCGGGUUGUAAAGCACUUUCAGUGAGGAAGAACGCCUGGUGGUUAAUACCCAUCAGGAAAGACAUCACUCACAGAAGAAGCACCGGCUAACUCCGUGCCAGCAGCCGCGGUAAUACGGAGGGUGCGAGCGUUAAUCGGAAUUACUGGGCGUAAAGCGCGCGUAGGUGGCUUGAUAAGCCGGUUGUGAAAGCCCCGGGCUCAACCUGGGAACGGCAUCCGGAACUGUCAGGCUAGAGUGCAGGAGAGGAAGGUAGAAUUCCCGGUGUAGCGGUGAAAUGCGUAGAGAUCGGGAGGAAUACCAGUGGCGAAGGCGGCCUUCUGGACUGACACUGACACUGAGGUGCGAAAGCGUGGGUAGCAAACAGGAUUAGAUACCCGGGUAGUC
rnacentral:rRNA from 1 species